rnacentral:rRNA from 1 species
UCGGGAAUAUUGGACAAUGGGGGAAACCCUGAUCCAGCAAUGCCGCGUGAAUGAAGAAGGCCUUAGGGUUGUAAAAUUCUUUUGUUCGUGAAGAUAAUGACGGUAGCGGACGAAUAAGCCCUGGCUAACUCUGUGCCAGCAGCCGCGGUAAUACAGAGAGGGCAAGCGUUGUCCGGAAUGACUGGGCGUAAAGCGCGCGCAGGCGGUUUUUAAGUUGGAUGUGAAAUCCCCGGGCUCAACCUGGGAACUGCAUUCGAUACUGGAAAACUAGAGGCCGAGAGAGGAAAGCGGAAUGACGAGUGUAGAGGUGAAAUUCGUAGAUAUUCGUCGGAACACCAGAGGCGAAGGCGGCUUUCUGGCUCGGACCUGACGCUCAGGCGCGAAAGCGUGGGGAGCAAACAGGAUUAGAUACCCACGUAGUCCCUGAGCGGGCUGGCAAGGCGCAU